AGAGCCCCUCCUUCUGACUAGUCUCAGACCCCAUUGUCUGUGGCAACCUAGAGUUCAGGAAGUGCCACAGAAAUCCUAGGCCCCUGAGGUUUCAGACAAGGCUCGGCUGUGCCCUUUUAAGGAAUUUUGGUUUGAAGAGUCAAGGUGCCCUGUGGGACACAUAGGUGGGCAGGGCCCUCGUGGGUCGUGAUGCUAAUGCCCAAUUGCAAACCUAGCAAAUCCUUCUCUGAACAAGAAUUGAUCUUUAAAGCAACCUUCGUGGUGGUGUGGUGGUGUGGUGAGGUGGUGCUGUGGUGGUAGUGUGUGUGGUGGUGUGGUGGUGGUGUGGUGGUGGUGUGGUGGUGGUGUGUGGUGGUGUGGUGGUGUGUGGUGGUGUGGUGGUAGUGUGGUGGUGUGGUGGUGGUGUGUGGUGAUGUGGUGGUAGUGUGGUGGUGUGGUGGUGUGUGGUGGUGAUGUGGUGGUGUGGUGGUGAGGGUGGGGAGAUGAAUAUGUCAAACAGUGACCUGACAACCUUCACCCUCAUUAAAGUGGGAGUGGGAGCCUCUUCCACGGAAACCACGAGGUUC
rnacentral:lncRNA from 10 species